rnacentral:tRNA from 1 species
UCCGGGAUGGCGCAGCGGUAGCGCAGGUGACUGUUAAUCACUUGGUCGUCGGUUCGAAUCCGACUCCCGGAG